GCCUGGGUGGCUCAGUCGGUUGAGUGUCUGACUUCGGCUCAGGUCAUGAUCUCACGGUUCGUGAGUUUGAGCCCCGCGUCGGGCU
rnacentral:tRNA from 1 species